rnacentral:rRNA from 1 species
UACGUAGGUGGCAAGCGUUGUCCGGAAUUAUUGGGCGUAAAGCGCGCGCAGGCGGUUCCUUAAGGCUGAUGGGAAAGCCCCCGGCUCAACCGGGGAGGGUCAUUGGAAACUGGGGAACUUGAGUACUGAAGAGGAAAGCGGAAUUCCACGUGUAGCGGUGAAAUGCGUAGAGAUGUGGAGGAACACCAGUGGCGAAGGCGGCUUUCUGGUCAGUAACUGACGCUGAGGCGCGAAAGCGUGGGGAGCAAACAGG